UCCCUUGGCAGCCAGAUAUCAAGCCCCAAUCCCCACCUGUUUGUCUCUUCUGCAGGCAUGAUGGUACAUCCAGCAACGUCCAGCUCCCUAGGAGCACCCAGGGGAUGAUUGAGGGGCUCUGAGGAGAGUCCAUGGCCAAGAGCUGGGGACAGGGCCAUCACUGUGGACUGGGGCCAGUUAGGUGAGGACGUCAGUCAGCGUCUCCUUCUCGGCCAGGGCCCCAUGCUUCUUCCUCAGCAAGAUAUUUCCAAGCCGGAGGCUACUGAGAGGCCCAGGGGCCGGCCUGGCUCCACCCCUUCCAGCAGGAACCUGGACCUAAGAAACCUGAUGCCCUGCUGAGGGUUCCAAGGUCACAGAACGGGCAGAACUUGAGCAGUCACUUGCUCAGCAGGAGGCUGGCGCGCAGCACACGGGGCACACGGCGAAUGGUCAGGGAGACGCGGGUGCCGCGCACCAAGUGGGCUCCGGGCAGCGCCGACUGGCACGCAGCUGCAUUGGGUGGCAGCGAGGCGGCAUCCAGCUCAUCCACAAGGGUGGCUGCGAUGCCGUGGAGCAGACAAGAGCUCACUAGACAGGACUGGAGAGCUGACUCAGCAGUUAAGAGCACUGGCUGCUCUUGCAGAGGACCCAGGUUCACUUCCUAGCACCCACCUGCUGGCUCACAACCAUCUGUAUCUCCAGUUUCAGGGGAUCCGAUACAUCUUCUAGCCUUCUCGGGCACCGUGCAGAGGCCGUACACAUACAUACAUGCAGAAAAAAACACUCAUCCAUGUUAAAAAAAUUCUUUAAAAAUCUAAGAAAACUAGGUGGAUCUCUGUGAGUUCGAGGCCAGCCUAGUCUACAAGAGUUAGU